rnacentral:tRNA from 1 species
AGGCCAGUAGCUCAACGGUAGAGCAUCGCUCUCCAAAAGCGAGGGUUGCGGGUUCAAAUCCUGCCUGGCCUG